rnacentral:rRNA from 1 species
GGUUAAGCGACUAAGCGUACACGGUGGAUGCCCUGGCAGUCAGAGGCGAUGAAGGACGUGCUAAUCUGCGAUAAGCGUCGGUAAGGUGAUAUGAACCGUUAUAACCGGCGAUUUCCGAAUGGGGAAACCCAGUGUGUUUCGACACACUAUCAUUAACUGAAUCCAUAGGUUAAUGAGGCGAACCGGGGGAACUGAAACAUCUAAGUACCCCGAGGAAAAGAAAUCAACCGAGAUUCCCCCAGUAGCGGCGAGCGAACGGGGAGCAGCCCAGAGCCUGAAUCAGUGUGUGUGUUAGUGGAAGCGUCUGGAAAGGCGCGCGAUACAGGGUGACAGCCCCGUACACAAAAAUGCACAUGCUGUGAGCUCGAUGAGUAGGGCGGGACACGUGGUAUCCUGUCUGAAUAUGGGGGGACCAUCCUCCAAGGCUAAAUACUCCUGACUGACCGAUAGUGAACCAGUACCGUGAGGGAAAGGCGAAAAGAACCCCGGCGAGGGGAGUGAAAAAGAACCUGAAACCGUGUACGUACAAGCAGUGGGAGCACGCUUAGGCGUGUGACUGCGUACCUUUUGUAUAAUGGGUCAGCGACUUAUAUUCUGUAGCAAGGUUAACCGAAUAGGGGAGCCGAAGGGAAACCGAGUCUUAACUGGGCGUUAAGUUGCAGGGUAUAGACCCGAAACCCGGUGAUCUAGCCAUGGGCAGGUUGAAGGUUGGGUAACACUAACUGGAGGACCGAACCGACUAAUGUUGAAAAAUUAGCGGAUGACUUGUGGCUGGGGGUGAAAGGCCAAUCAAACCGGGAGAUAGCUGGUUCUCCCCGAAAGCUAUUUAGGUAGCGCCUCGUGAAUUCAUCUCCGGGGGUAGAGCACUGUUUCGGCAAGGGGGUCAUCCCGACUUACCAACCCGAUGCAAACUGCGAAUACCGGAGAAUGUUAUCACGGGAGACACACGGCGGGUGCUAACGUCCGUCGUGAAGAGGGAAACAACCCAGACCGCCAGCUAAGGUCCCAAAGUCAUGGUUAAGUGGGAAACGAUGUGGGAAGGCCCAGACAGCCAGGAUGUUGGCUUAGAAGCAGCCAUCAUUUAAAGAAAGCGUAAUAGCUCACUGGUCGAGUCGGCCUGCGCGGAAGAUGUAACGGGGCUAAACCAUGCACCGAAGCUGCGGCAGCGACGCUUAUGCGUUGUUGGGUAGGGGAGCGUUCUGUAAGCCUGCGAAGGUGUGCUGUGAGGCAUGCUGGAGGUAUCAGAAGUGCGAAUGCUGACAUAAGUAACGAUAAAGCGGGUGAAAAGCCCGCUCGCCGGAAGACCAAGGGUUCCUGUCCAACGUUAAUCGGGGCAGGGUGAGUCGACCCCUAAGGCGAGGCCGAAAGGCGUAGUCGAUGGGAAACAGGUUAAUAUUCCUGUACUUGGUGUUACUGCGAAGGGGGGACGGAGAAGGCUAUGUUGGCCGGGCGACGGUUGUCCCGGUUUAAGCGUGUAGGCUGGUUUUCCAGGCAAAUCCGGAAAAUCAAGGCUGAGGCGUGAUGACGAGGCACUACGGUGCUGAAGCAACAAAUGCCCUGCUUCCAGGAAAAGCCUCUAAGCAUCAGGUAACAUCAAAUCGUACCCCAAACCGACACAGGUGGUCAGGUAGAGAAUACCAAGGCGCUUGAGAGAACUCGGGUGAAGGAACUAGGCAAAAUGGUGCCGUAACUUCGGGAGAAGGCACGCUGAUAUGUAGGUGAAGUCCCUCGCGGAUGGAGCUGAAAUCAGUCGAAGAUACCAGCUGGCUGCAACUGUUUAUUAAAAACACAGCACUGUGCAAACACGAAAGUGGACGUAUACGGUGUGACGCCUGCCCGGUGCCGGAAGGUUAAUUGAUGGGGUUAGCCGCAAGGCGAAGCUCUUGAUCGAAGCCCCGGUAAACGGCGGCCGUAACUAUAACGGUCCUAAGGUAGCGAAAUUCCUUGUCGGGUAAGUUCCGACCUGCACGAAUGGCGUAAUGAUGGCCAGGCUGUCUCCACCCGAGACUCAGUGAAAUUGAACUCGCUGUGAAGAUGCAGUGUACCCGCGGCAAGACGGAAAGACCCCGUGAACCUUUACUAUAGCUUGACACUGAACAUUGAGCCUUGAUGUGUAGGAUAGGUGGGAGGCUUUGAAGUGUGGACGCCAGUCUGCAUGGAGCCGACCUUGAAAUACCACCCUUUAAUGUUUGAUGUUCUAACGUUGACCCGUAAUCCGGGUUGCGGACAGUGUCUGGUGGGUAGUUUGACUGGGGCGGUCUCCUCCUAAAGAGUAACGGAGGAGCACGAAGGUUGGCUAAUCCUGGUCGGACAUCAGGAGGUUAGUGCAAUGGCAUAAGCCAGCUUGACUGCGAGCGUGACGGCGCGAGCAGGUGCGAAAGCAGGUCAUAGUGAUCCGGUGGUUCUGAAUGGAAGGGCCAUCGCUCAACGGAUAAAAGGUACUCCGGGGAUAACAGGCUGAUACCGCCCAAGAGUUCAUAUCGACGGCGGUGUUUGGCACCUCGAUGUCGGCUCAUCACAUCCUGGGGCUGAAGUAGGUCCCAAGGGUAUGGCUGUUCGCCAUUUAAAGUGGUACGCGAGCUGGGUUUAGAACGUCGUGAGACAGUUCGGUCCCUAUCUGCCGUGGGCGCUGGAGAACUGAGGGGGGCUGCUCCUAGUACGAGAGGACCGGAGUGGACGCAUCACUGGUGUUCGGGUUGUCAUGCCAAUGGCACUGCCCGGUAGCUAAAUGCGGAAGAGAUAAGUGCUGAAAGCAUCUAAGCACGAAACUUGCCCCGAGAUGAGUUCUCCCUGACUCCUUGAGAGUCCUGAAGGAACGUUGAAGACGACGACGUUGAUAGGCCGGGUGUGUAAGCGCAGCGAUGCGUUGAGCUAACCGGUACUAAUGAACCGUGAGGCUUAACCUU